AUUAUCUAGGCUAACUAAACCCUAAACCUCGUCCAAGUAUAAAUGUCCCAUAUUCAAGACAUUCUCCUCCAUGCCGUUGUAUUAUAUUUACCUCAAAUAUUAUUUCUCUUUUCUCCAGAUUCACCAUUAUCACCGGUGCAAUAAUUCGUACCACCUAAAACACCUUCACAACCACCAACAAAUCCUAAGCAAUUGAAAUUUCGUAAAGACGUUCUUUAACCGGUGAUCCCGAAACAAUCAUUAUUGUUCUAUCUUUCCUCGAUCCCUUACUUCUUGUGAGUUAGUCAUUUCUUUCUAGCCAUUGAUUACUACCAUAUUCUAUUUUUCCUUCUGGUAUAGCCAUCCCCAACCUGUAGAACUUACAACCGAGGUCCAAGGUUGUUCACAGACGAAGGCUACUUAGGGAUCAGUCGGAUCAAGCAAGGAAGUUAUUACUGUAGUAUGGAAUUCGCGUGCUCAAGAUGACCAUUGUCUACAGGUAUCUUUGAUUUCAUAGGUUGCUUCGAGUGAGGACGACAGUAAUAAAUGUGAAUGUAUUUCAGAAAAAGGGUUUUCCAAUCAUAAAUUUCUUAAUAAUUAAUUUAUUUUAUGAGUUGUAUUUUCAAGUCCUAAUUUGGUUAACGUAAAGAGUUUUGUAAUCUUAAUUAAUCUUUUUUUAUCGAUCUUGAGAUUUUUUUUAGCCUUGCAUUUGCUCUUAGGUAAAUGCGGCAGUGAUACUCCGAUUCUCUGUCAUUGCUUCCGCUUAUGUUUAAGAAUACACAGGUUUAUUGGUGUUGUCAAAUGUAACAGGAUUUUAAAUAUCCCAUUUUUGGGUUUUGUUCAAUUUACAAAGGAAACUCUGUCGAAUUUAUACUUGA